rnacentral:rRNA from 1 species
GUGGAUUAGAUACCCUGGUAGUCCUGGCAGUAAACGGUGCACGUUUGGUGUGGGAGGAUUCGACCCCUUCCGUGCCGGAGCUAACGCGUUAAACGUGCCGCCUGGGGAGUACGGUCGCAAGAUUAAAACUCAAAGAAAUUGACGGGGACCCGCACAAGCGGUGGAGUAUGUGGCUUAAUUCGAUGCAACGCGAAGAACCUUACCUGGCCUUGACAUGCAUCUCUAAACCGGUGAAAGCCGGCGAGCGUAGCAAUACGCAAUUUGCACAGGUGCUGCAUGGCCGUCGUCAGCU